CCUACGGGAGGCAGCAGUGAGGAAUAUUGGUCAAUGGACGAAAGUCUGAACCAGCCAUGCCGCGUGCAGGAUGACGGCUCUAUGAGUUGUAAACUGCUUUUGUAUGAGGGUAAACGCAGAUACGCGUAUCUGUCUGAAAGUAUCGUACGAAUAAGGAUCGGCUAACUCCGUGCCAGCAGCCGCGGUAAUACGGAGGAUUCAAGCGUUAUCCGGAUUUAUUGGGUUUAAAGGGUGCGUAGGCGGUUGGUUAAGUUAGAGGUGAAAUCCCGCGGCUCAACUUCGGAAUUGCCUCUGAUACUGUUCGUCUAGAGAGUAGUAGCGGUAGGCGGAAUGUAUGGUGUAGCGGUGAAAUGCUUAGAGAUCAUACAGAACACCGAUUGCGAAGGCAGCUUACCAGGCUACUUCUGACGUUGAGGCACGAAAGCGUGGGGAGCAAACAGGAUUAGAUACCCCUGUAGUC
rnacentral:rRNA from 1 species